rnacentral:rRNA from 1 species
ACUCAAAUGAAUUGACGGGGGCCCGCACAAGCAGUGGAGCAUGUGGUUUAAUUGGAUGCUACGCCAAGAACCUUACCAAGACUUGACUUCCCGGUGUAAGCUCCUAGAAAUAGGAGGCCCCUUCGGGCACCGGUGACAGGUGGUGCAUGGUUGUCGUCAGCUCGUGCCGUGAGGUGUUGGAUUAAGUUCCGCAACGAGCGCAACCCUCGUCGUUAGUUGCCAUCAUUAAGUUGGGCACUCUAGCGAGACUGCCGGCGUCAAGCCGGAGGAAGGUGGGGAUGACGUCAAAUCAUCAUGCCCCUUACGUCUUGGGCUACACACGUGCUACAAUGGGCGAUACAACAGGCUGCCACACCGCGAGGUGGAGCGAAUCCCUAAAGUCGUCCUCAGUUCGGAUUGCAGGCUGCAACUCGCCUGCAUGAAGCUGGAAUUGCUAGUAACCGUGCAUCAGCAUGGCGCGGUGAAUACGUACCCGGGCCUUGUACACACCGCCCGU